UACGAAGGGGGCGAGCGUUGUUCGGAUUUACUGGGCGUAAAGAGCGCGCAGGCGGUCGAUCAAGUCGAGUGUGAAAGCCCCCGGCUCAACUGGGGAGGGUCAUUCGAAACUGGUCGACUCGAAGGCAGGAGAGGGUAGUGGAAUUCCCGGUGUAGUGGUGAAAUGCGUAGAUAUCGGGAGGAACACCAGUGGCGAAGGCGACUACCUGGCCUGUUCUUGACGCUGAGGCGCGAAAGCUAGGGGAGCAAACGGG
rnacentral:rRNA from 1 species